UUUUUAAAUUGCUGUAGUAUUUUGACUAUACAAAGGUAUUGAAAUAAGAUUUUAAUUGAAUGCUAAGAGAAUGGAAGUCCAGAAAAAAACUUUUUUUAAAUUAAAAAUUGAAGUUUUUUUAAUUUGUGCAGAAACAAUUAUUUAUAUUAAAGACAAGAAGACCCUAUGAAUUUAUUAAAUUUUUAUUUAAUAUGUAAUUACUAUUAGAAAAAUUUUGGCUGGGGCGGCUAGAAAAUAUUAUGAACUUUUUAAAAAUAAAAUGAUCCAUUAUUAAUGAUUUUAUGUUAAAUACUCUAGGGAUAACAGCGUAAA
rnacentral:rRNA from 1 species